rnacentral:misc_RNA from 1 species
CUCGUGCCCAACCUUUUUUCCCGAGAGCAUGAUGCCCUAAGGCAGUGCUGGUGAUGGGGAAAAAAUCGUAACAAGGUAGCCGUCCCGGAAGGUGUGGCUGGACAAAAACCUUUUUAGGGACACCUACACCCCUCAAAACUCGAAAGCCAAUUGCCAAUAAAGAUUGAGUUGGUCUAACCUUUUAACAAAAAAAAAAAUUUUGCUGACCUUUCAAACUAUACAUUGGUUCGGAUAAUGGGCUAUUACCUCAGGUGGUUGGAGCGCACCCCUGAUAAGGGUGAGGCCCCUGUUUUGAGUCCCGAUGGCCCACUGAAACAUUU